AUGGACUACGAGUUCAUCUUCUGGGCGAUCCAGGAGGCGGAAUCAGCGGACCCGAGGCAGGCGGCGAGAUGGGCGCGCUUCAAGACAAGCUCACCGUCAAGGCUCAACAUCCGCCCUCCACUGGUGUUGGAGAUCUCCCGCAUCCCACCAGGAGCGCUGCCGCCGGGGGCUGCCCUCCCCAGGUCCCUUGAAGCUUCAGCAACCCGGCGCAUGGGCCUUGCAGGGUGCCCCCGCCCUGCAAACAAGGCGCAGGAGGGCCAGGGGAUCCACCUUGGAACCUCCACCAUGGUCGGGUGGUCGCGGGGAGAAACCCCGUACAAAGUGGAAGGGUUCGAGCAGAAUGGUGAGGACUCUGAUGGAGGGGAUGAUGAUCCAGAUCUGGAUAAUCUUGAGGGAAAUGAUGGAAAUAACAAUAAGAAUGUUGAGGACAAAGAGGGUAUGGAAGAAGAUAAUGAUGAGGCGAUUGAUGAAUUGGACAAGGCCAACUUCCCUACCAAAACAGCUACCUCUUCUAGCUCGAACAAAAACAUGUCUCAAGUGGCUGCUUCUGCAGUGGAAGUCCAUCAGGGUAACAUGAGGGAUGCAAUGCAAGGAGAGAUUACUGAUAACCUCAAAAAUUGGACCCCGAUGAAGGCUGAUGAAGGUGAAACUGAGCCAACUUCAAGGCUUGAAAAGCCUAAUGCUCUGUACAUAGGGGACCGGACGGAUCGGACCAACAGGAUGGACGUCGGCGGCGGCAGCAGCGGCGGUGGCGAGGAGGAGGAGGUGGACCGGGCCGCCGGCGCCGGCAGCAGCCAGCCGCAGCGGAUGAAGAUCGGCUGGCCCACCGACGUGCGCCACGUCGCGCACGUCACCUUCGACCGCUUCCACGGCUUCCGCGGCGUCCCCGCCGAGCUCCAGCCCGAGCCCGCCCUCGCCAAGGCCCCCAGCGCCAGGUACACGCAUCUUCCUCCCUCCUCUCGCCGUCUGUCCCAAUCCAUCUUCCUCCUCGGCAUUCAAUCAUCGAUGAUCGUCUCCGUGUCCGGCGUGCGUGUGUGCAGCAAGACGGCGUUCGGCGUGUCGACGGAGUCGAUGCAGUGCGCGCACGACGCGCGGGGGAACAGCGUGCCCACCAUCCUGCUCCUCCUGCAGCGCCGCCUGUACGAGCAGGGCGGGCUCAAGACGGAGGGCAUCUUCCGCGUGGCCGCCGACGGCGCGCAGGAGCAGCGCGUCAGGGACCAGCUCGACCUCGCCGCCUCCGUGCCGGAGGACGCCGACGUGCACUGCCUCGCGGGGCUCAUCAAGGCCUGGUUCAGGGAGCUGCCGGGCGGCCUGCUGGACGCGCUGCCGGAGGAGGAGGUGGCGGGCUGCGCCACGGAGGAGGCGGCGGCGAGGCUGAUCGGUAAGCUGCCGGCGGCCAAGGCGGCGCUGCUCGACUGGGCCGUGCAGCUCAUGGCGGACGUGGCGAGCGAGGAGGCGCGGAACCGGAUGGGCACCCGCAACGUCGCCAUGGUCUUCGCGCCCAACAUGACGGAGGAGGUGGAUCCUCUGACAGCGCUCAAGUACGCGGUGCAGGUGAUGAACUUCCUCAACCUGCUCAUCGAGCGGGCGCUCCGACAAAGGCAGCAAGAUCAGAAGAAGAAGCAACCUAAAUAG
rnacentral:rRNA from 1 species